AAAAAAAAUUAAGGCACAUUUCUCCAUAUGCAUGAAGAACAAGUAUGGAAAAGCAAGUAGCAAGCGUCUCGCAAAUCACUGGUUUUCGGCUUCAAGCAGCAGUUAUGGAUGGCCUAGUUGCAUUCUAGUCGCUGAUAUAAAUAACCCUUAUAAAGGAUUUUCAGUUGAAGAUCACUGCAUUAUUGAAGUUGAAUUAUCUAUUCAAGCUGUCUUGCGUGGUUUACCGUAAGAUUCAAUUUUCUGUAGUAAAAUGGGAUUUAAAGGGUUCUUGCUUACUAGAUUCAUGUUAAUAGAAACAUCCAUGCUUAAACUAUUGCUUAUUUUAUUUUGGCUAAAUUGCACUCGAUGUCCCCAAUGUUUGCCUCUUGUAGCACGUUUGCUAUCUCCUUUUUACGUCGCAGUUUAAGCUCAACUUUUUGUUGAUUA